CUUUUUUAUGGCUCAGGAUGAACGCUAGCUACAGGCUUAACACAUGCAAGUCGAGGGGCAGCGGGAUUGAAGCUUGCUUCAAUUGCCGGCGACCGGCGCACGGGUGAGUAACGCGUAUCCAACCUUCCGUACACUCAGGGAUAGCCUUUCGAAAGAAAGAUUAAUACCUGAUAGUAUCUUAAGCACACAUGUAAUUAAGAUUAAAGAUUUAUCGGUGUACGAUGGGGAUGCGUUCCAUUAGGUAGUAGGCGGGGUAACGGCCCACCUAGCCAACGAUGGAUAGGGGUUCUGAGAGGAAGGUCCCCCACAUUGGAACUGAGACACGGUCCAAACUCCUACGGGAGGCAGCAGUGAGGAAUAUUGGUCAAUGGACGAGAGUCUGAACCAGCCAAGUAGCGUGAAGGAUGAAGGUCCUACGGAUUGUAAACUUCUUUUAUAGGGGAAUAAACCCUCCCACGUGUGGGAGCUUGUAUGUACCUUAUGAAUAAGCAUCGGCUAACUCCGUGCCAGCAGCCGCGGUAAUACGGAGGAUGCGAGCGUUAUCCGGAUUUAUUGGGUUUAAAGGGAGCGCAGACGGGUCGUUAAGUCAGCUGUGAAAGUUUGGGGCUCAACCUUAAAAUUGCAGUUGAUACUGGCGUCCUUGAGUGCGGUUGAGGUGUGCGGAAUUCGUGGUGUAGCGGUGAAAUGCUUAGAUAUCACGAAGAACUCCGAUUGCGAAGGCAGCACUCUAAUCCGUAACUGACGUUCAUGCUCGAAAGUGUGGGUAUCAAACAGGAUUAGAUACCCUGGUAGUCCACACGGUAAACGAUGGAUACUCGCUGUUGGCGAUAUACUGUCAGCGGCUUAGCGAAAGCGUUAAGUAUCCCACCUGGGGAGUACGCCGGCAACGGUGCAACUCAAAUGAAUUGACGGA
rnacentral:rRNA from 1 species